UUGAACGCUGGCGGCAUGCUUACACAUGCAAGUCGAACGGCAGCACGGGUGCUUGCACAUGGUGGCGAGUGGCGAACGGGUGAGUAAUGCAUCGGAACGUAUCCAAUAAUGGGGGAUAACGCAUCGAAAGGUGUGCUAAUACCGCAUACGCCCUGAGGGGGAAAGUGGGGGACCGUAAGGCCUCACGUUAAUGGAGCGGCCGAUAUCGGAUUAGCUAGUUGGUGAGGUAAGAGCUCACCAAGGCGACGAUCCGUAGCUGGUCUGAGAGGACGACCAGCCACACUGGAACUGAGACACGGUCCAGACUCCUACGGGAGGCAGCAGUGGGGAAUUUUGGACAAUGGGCGCAAGCCUGAUCCAGCCAUUCCGCGUGAGUGAAGAAGGCCUUCGGGUUGUAAAGCUCUUUCGCAAGGGAAGAAAACUUAGCCACUAACAUUGGCUGAGGUUGACGGUACCUUGAUAAGAAGCACCGGCUAACUACGUGCCAGCAGCCGCGGUAAUACGUAGGGUGCGAGCGUUAAUCGGAAUUACUGGGCGUAAAGCGUGCGCAGGCUGUUUUGUAAGUCAGAUGUGAAAUCCCCGAGCUCAACUUGGGAACUGCGUUUGAAACUGCGAGGCUAGAGUGUGUCAGAGGGGGGUAGAAUUCCACGUGUAGCAGUGAAAUGCGUAGAGAUGUGGAGGAACACCGAUGGCGAAGGCAGCCCCCUGGGAUAACACUGACGCUCAUGCACGAAAGCGUGGGGAGCAAACAGGAUUAGAUACCCUGGUAGUCCACGCCCUAAACGAUGUCUACUAGUUGUUGGUGGAGUAAA
rnacentral:rRNA from 1 species